GCUCUGGUGGCCAAGUUGGAUUAAGGCAUGUGGCUUAUGUUUCUCAGGCUUUCCCUUCGAGGAUGCUAAUCGAGAUCAUUGUGUUUAUCUUGCAGAAUCUUUUCAAACGAUUCUAGUAAACCGCGAGAUCGUGGGUUCGAGUCCCACCCGGAGCA